AAACAGGUGGUAAACAAACAGCGUAAUGGACAUUGUCUCCACUUGGGAUGAGCGGCUACAUGAGAAGUGCAAAAAUAGAAACAUAUGGUAACGUGGUAUUCCAAGGAUGCACAAAUGUGCUUGUACACAGAGACACUGCCACAAGGAAAUACAUUGUUUCUCUCUGAGGAACUGGGUUGAGGGGUGACCUUGAAGCCUCCUCACUGAAGUUUUCAUCAAGGGAAGUAUUGUCACCGGUCCGUGAAAGAUUCAUUCGUCUCGAAGAAAGCCCAGAUGAGCGCCCUGUGUGUAGCAGGCAUUCAUAAGCGUCUGUUGAUGGAACACGAAGGAUUACUGUUUUUGCCACAUUAAAGACUGCAAUAUAUCAAGGCUGCGGAAUGUACAGAGUGGAUCAGGGACUAUAGGUUUGUGUCACAGGUUGAACUCUAUCUCCCCCAAAAUGCGGAGGCGUGGUUGGUACUGGAUCCUUGUGCCUUCAAAUGUGACCUUAUUCAGAGAAGAGCUGUUACAGGCAUAGUUAGGGAGGCCCACUGAGGUGGUCAGUCAUUUUCUCUACCGGAUGUGAUGCGAAGGCCUAGGGAGAUCAGUGUGUGGCAACAGACAAGAGACUGGACUUAAAGGGCUGCCAGCCAAGGAACAUCAAGGAGCGCUGGCAACACUGGAUGCCUUAAGACAAAGAACUAUUCUCUCUUAACUGGCCUUUCAAGAACUCCCAACCCUGCUGAUACCUAGCUUUUGGCUCUAGGUUUCCCAGACUAUGAGAGAAAAUCCUUUAAGCAGUACAGUCCAAGGCCUAGGAAAUGAAUGUACUACAGCAGGCCUAGGAAAUGAAUACACUGGCUCCAGAAAUACGAAUAUGUGCACAUUGUCUCAGCAUGAGCUGGGUGAGUGAGGAUGAAGGAUAGACAGGUUCAGCAUCUGGGAAGCCAUGGCUAAUGCUGUGCUCAGGGAAAGAGACAGAAACCACCCUGGAAAAGGUGAGGUGUCUGAGGCCUAUUGCCAUAGAAGCCAUCCCUGGCUUUGCACACAUGAUUUAACUUCUUGUGCUGGUUUCUCAUGGCUUACCACUGGGCUGGGUGGCUAGAAGAACCUGGAGAAGUGGCCGUUUGUCCAUCCGUCCCUGAGCUGCAGAUUCUACAUUGUCUGGGUUCCUGGGGGGCCGGGGGGUU